AUUAAUUUGAGAGUUUGAUCCUGGCUCAGGACGAACGCUGGCGGCGUGCCUAAUACAUGCAAGUCGAACGAACUCUGGUAUUGAUUGGUGCUUGCAUCAUGAUUUACAUUUGAGUGAGUGGCGAACUGGUGAGUAACACGUGGGAAACCUGCCCAGAAGCGGGGGAUAACACCUGGAAACAGAUGCUAAUACCGCAUAACAACUUGGACCGCAUGGUCCGAGYUUGAAAGAUGGCUUCGGCUAUCACUUUUGGAUGGUCCCGCGGCGUAUUAGCUAGAUGGUGGGGUAACGGCUCACCAUGGCAAUGAUACGUAGCCGACCUGAGAGGGUAAUCGGCCACAUUGGGACUGAGACACGGCCCAAACUCCUACGGGAGGCAGCAGUAGGGAAUCUUCCACAAUGGACGAAAGUCUGAUGGAGCAACGCCGCGUGAGUGAAGAAGGG
rnacentral:rRNA from 2 species